rnacentral:lncRNA from 1 species
GCCCACGUUACACCCUAGCCGCGUCGUCGCCCAUGCAAACUCCAAAUCACUAGAAGAACGAGGAUGACGCGCUCCCACCACCACUCCUGCAGAGAAUCAAUCAAAUAGAAAAAAUCUCAAUGAAAAUCAGAAAAAAGGGGAGGGAAGGAAGCUUCCUCCUUUUCCUCGAAUCAGAACGGAGAGAAGAAUAACAAGAACCCUAGGUUGUCCGCGCGAGAUGAAGAACCUUAGGCUAGGUUGGAUACACGACUUGAAGCAAGACAAAUCGGAACAGAGAAGAGAAAGGAAGCCUCCAACAGGGUUGGAUGCACGACUUGGAGGUGCAAAAUGGAAGAAGAAGAACAUUGCGCGAGAAAAUGCAUUUUCAUUUAGGGUUCUGAAUUUGAACUUACGAAGGGGCUAUUACUUCGGUUAAGUAAAAAACCGAAAUCGAAUGGGACUAUAAGGCCUCUCUUCGUGCCCAGACCCAGGCAUAUAGGGAGGACAUACUACUUCGGUUCAUAGUAGAACCGAAGUCGAACAGGCAUAUUGCCUCUGUCCCC